UUAGGAUUUGGACCUCGCUGGGGGAGGUGCCACUGGGGGUGGGCUUUGAGGGUUUAUAGCCUCUCUCUACUCCCUGCUCCGUCUCCCUGUCUCCUGGAUGUGUGGAUGAAAUGUCAUGCCUCUGUCAUGCCUCCUUUGCCACAUGGACUUUAUCCCCUUGGGACUGAAGCCAAAAUUACACUUCCUUCCUUAACUUGCUGUUGGUCAUGAGACUUUUAUCACAACAACAGAAAGGCCCGCUGAGAAAAAGGGCCCAGAAGAAGUACCUGAAGGGAAGAAGGGCUUAUCUUGGUUUGCAGAUCUACGGGAUGAAGCCCAUAUGGUGAAGAAGGUUGGAGGAAGGUGCCGGAUUUCCAGGAAGUGAAGAUACAGAUGGUUGCCGACUGCCAAGCGGAUGCUAGGAACUGAGCGUAGGUCCUCCAGGAGAGCAGCCAGCGCUGGUCACUGCUGAGCCAUCUCUCCGAAAAGUUUUAUCACUGUACGACUGAAGAGGACUUCAUGGGACCUGCACGUCUCAUUUUAUCCUGUUAUUGUCACGUUAACAGCGAGCAGUGAACAAGGGUGUGAGUCCUGACAACUGGUUUCAUUUCUUCUGGAGACAGUGGUGGGGUUGCUGUUCCUAUGGUCACCCUAUUUUUAAUUCUUGAGAGUCCCCAUAGUGCUUUCUAAGAUAGGUCUGAGCGACCUCUCCCACAGUGUUUGAGAAUUUGACUGUGCACCCUCGCCAGCACCUACUGUAAUCAUUUCGAUCAUAGUUGUCCUUCCUGGGGUCACGACAGGGACACGGGCUGUACUUCCUAGAGAUGCUGACCUUGCCCUGGGCCUGCAGAUGUCUAAUGGGUAACUAGAAGAAGAGAAAACUUGGCACCUCUGCCUCCAUUUUGUAUCUGCUUCUUCUGCUUUUAACUUUGGAACAGAUUCUUGCCCAACUCUACACGUUAAUCAUUGAGGUAGUGUUUGCCCUACGGUCUCCUCUGCUUCAAGGUUCAACGCACGGAGAUCAAUAUCCAAGGGCUUUUGAAGAUUUUUCUGGAAUGUCCUGAAUUCCUGGAGGGACAUCCCUAGAAGUCUAUAUCCGUGGCCCUGCACCUUCCAGGAACAGGAUUUUUGCAGGCCGAUCAUCCCCACGUGGAUAUUGUCCCACUGAAGCAGGAACCAUCUUCUCGUGUGAACGGAGUUGUGUCUCCUUCCUAGGAUGACGAGUCAGAUGGAGAGACAACAUGCAAGGCAAAUGGCGUUUCCUCAGCACCAACAGGAGGUUGCCCUGAUGCCAGCUGUAGCCACUGCUCACUCUGGCAAGACCGAGUGUGCAAACUUGCCUUUGCUCUUUUUGCUCCGAACAAACCCAGGCCACUCCCGCUGCUCAGGAGACAACCCUUGGACCUGUUUUCCUCCUAUGGUGACACUGACUUUCUUGUCUGUUUUUGAGGUAUGUCCUCACAUAGCCUUUCCUGGCCUCAAACUCAUUUGUCAAACUAAACUACUAUGACUACAACUACUACUCCUCCUUCUCCUUCUCAAGAUUUAUUUAUUUAUUUAUUUAUUUAUUUAUUUAUUUAUUUAUUUAUUUAUUUAUUAGUACACUGUAUCAGUCCUCAGACACACCAGAAGAGGGCAUCAGAUCCCAUUACAGAUGGUUGUGAGCCAACAUGUGGUUGCGGGGGUUUGAACUCAGGACCUCUGGAAGAGCAGUCAGUGCCCUUAACCACUGAGGCAUCUCUCCAGCCCCAAACUAAACCUCUGACACCCCAGCCUACACCCCCAUGCCCUGACAAUGCUGGGCUUACAGGAAUAUACCACCUGCCCUAUUUAUACAGCACUGAGAAUGGAACCCUGGACUUGUGCCUGCUAUGCAAGGUCCUGUGCCAACUGAACUACAUCCCCAGCUGAGGGAGUAGGAGUUAGAUCCCUCAUAGGCAGAUAGAUAAGAGGGGCCAUGAAUAGAUUUUAAAAAAAUGGGCAUUUUCCACUUUCUUCUCAUACUCCUGACUCGAGACAACGAUCUAAAUGUCUGGUGGACUUUUUCUCCUACCACUAGGGCUCCCCUGCCCCUGGGAUUAGAGUUGAAAUGAACCUUUAUCAUGAGGGGGAGGCCCGGGUGGAUUUCUGUGUAGUGGAGCAUCAAAUGCAUGCAUUCUAAAAGCUUGGUUCCUGGGGGGUGGUACUGGAAGAUGGCGGAACCUUUAAGAGAAAGGUCAUUAUUAGGUCACCGAGGUCAUGCUCUAGGUCAAGGCAAGGCUGAAGAGGAGGGCUUUAGUGUAGAUCUGAGGGACAGAUAUGAGGGAGAACAGCCAGAGGCAUCUGGAAGAGUCCAGACUGAACCAGAUCAUGAGAGGAGAGAGAGAAGGGAAAGCGAGAGGGGAAGAGAAGAGAAGAGAAGAGAAGAGAAGCGAGGAGAGAAGAGAAGAAGAGAGAGAGAGAGAGAGAGAGAGAGAGAGAGAGAGAGAGAGAGAGAGAGAGAGCGCG